ensembl:ncRNA T24D11.7 ncRNA
UUUACUUCUGAUUUGAAAAAUAUAUUUAAAAAACCCUGGGAGGUCUUGCAUUUCUUUUUUUCGAUUCGAUAAUGAGGGUAUGAACCGCAAAUGAUUUCAAUCAUGAAAAGUGAAUAGAGAGGAAAAUAGAAAGAAAGACGGGCAGAAUAAAGAAGUCGUGAAGAUUCGGGGAGGAGUGACGGGAAGGCGACGUCCCACCAGUUCUUCUUUUCCACUACCCUCCUCUCGCUUCUCGUCUCGUCAAAUCAGGAUUUCGUUGAUCGAGAUGAGAAGAAACCGAUUAUUUUCUCUUAUUUCUAUAUAUGUGUGGCUGAAUA